ACGGGUGGUGCGCUUGCAGCUUUCUUCCUCCACCUCUUUCUUCUUGCUCCAGUCGGAAUCGACACGCCCACCACCUUUUCCUUCUGGUUGCAGUUCGAAUCCACACGAAAACCUGCUCAUCCAAAUCAAUUUCACCACCCAUAUUCUUCCACAUCGUUCUAAACUCAAAACCUAGAUCGCAGUUACUCACCCAAAACCCAGACAACCGCCGCCACCACUUCAUCCACCACAACGUUUUACAAAUUUCUCUUGACUGAAGGCAAGCGAAAAUUGCCCUCUUCAUCUCCUCAAAUUUUGGAAUGACGAGAUGAGCCGUAGGAAAUGGAAUUCGUAUACAACAUGUGAGGGCAGAUGGAGAAAUUCUAGAUGUUGAAUCUACGAAAAGUAAUUAAGAGCUGUGUAGACACUAGACGUGCAAAUGGUAAUGCAGCAUUCCGUGAAGCAGGAAGUUCAUUCAGCUUUCUUCCUUCCUUUCGGAUUUAAGAAAUAACAUCCCUGAAGCACAUGUCUUCUUGACGACCGAUGGCUACUCCUUAGACGUAUUUGUGGUGGAUGGAUGACCUGUUGAGGUAUCUGCUUUUGCUUUUCUCUCUGCAUAUUUUGUUUGUAUGAAAGUCCAUCCUUUUAGUCGUUGAUGUCUACAUUUUUGGUUGUACAUAGAACUCUUCACGUAGAGUCAGUAAAAUGCAGGUGCAAACUGAACGAGCUAAUUAAUGUGGGAAACUUUUGGAAAUGUAUAUAACUGUAACUUAGAAAUCUUUGCUUUAGUAUUGCACGUAUGCUCUUGAUGUAAAUAGAAUUUAAAUGUAGCUUAAAGACUUAUUUUACCAUGUUGGUUUAGUUGUUC